rnacentral:pre_miRNA from 1 species
AGUGAAAUUGCUGGGUCAUUUGAUAAUUCUACAUUUAACCUUUUUAGGAACUGGCAAACUCUUUUCCACAGGGGAUGUACCAUUUCAUAUUCCUACUGACAAU